rfam:Mustela putorius furo unplaced genomic scaffold scaffold00060, whole genome shotgun sequence.
GUCUACGGCCAUACCACCCUGAACGUGCCCGAUCUCGUCUGAUCUCGGAAGCUAAGCAGGGUCGGGCCUGGUUAGUACUUGGACGGGAGGAAAAAGAAAAUCCAAACCACAGUGAGAU